AGAUAUUAUCCCCUUGUAGUGUAGUUUAAUAGCUAUCUACAUAAUAACUUAAUAUAAAGUAUAAUAGUUUAUAUUUUAUAAUAUGACGUUAACAAUUUGUUUACUAUUUGAAAAUGUUAGCAUUAGUAAUAUUAGUAUAUGUGCUAAAGGAACUCGGCAAAAAACCACUCAACUGUUUAUCAAAAACAUAGCUAUAUGAAUUAAUAUAUAGUUAUUUCUGCUCAAUGACUUAAAUAGCCGCAGUACUCUGACUGUGCAAAGGUAGCAUAAUCAGUUGGCUUUUAAUUAGAGUCUGGUAUGAACGAAAAUAUGGGUAGUAACUGUCUUAGCACAUUUUUUCGAACUUAUUAAACAAGUGCAAAUACUUGUAAUUUAACAAUAGACGAGAAGACCCUAGAAACUUGGACAAGUUUUUGUUGGGGCGACAGAAUUACACUUAACUAAUCUUAUAAUACACGACGCGAUGUUGAAAGAAUAAGUUACUCUAGGGAUAACAGCAUAAUUUCAUUAGUUUGUGACCUCGAUGUUGGACUAGGUACUAUACCCUUAAGGCAAGGAUAUAUUAUGCUCUGUUCGAGCAAAAUUACCUACAUGAUCUGAGUUCAGACCGG
rnacentral:rRNA from 1 species